rnacentral:rRNA from 1 species
GUAGAACGCUGAAGGAGGAGCUUGCUUCUCCGGAUGAGUUGCGAACGGGUGAGUAACGCGUAGGUAACCUGCCUGGUAGCGGGGGAUAACUAUUGGAAACGAUAGCUAAUACCGCAUAAGAGUAGAUGUUGCAUGACAUUUGCUUAAAAGGUGCAAUUGCACCACUACCAGAUGGACCUGCGUUGUAUUAGCUAGUUGGUGGGGUAACGGCUCACCAAGGCGACGAUACAUAGCCGACCUGAGAGGGUGAUCGGCCACACUGGGACUGAGACACGGCCCAGACUCCUACGGGAGGCAGCAGUAGGGAAUCUUCGGCAAUGGACGGAAGUCUGACCGAGCAACGCCGCGUGAGUGAAGAAGGUUUUCGGAUCGUAAAGCUCUGUUGUAAGAGAAGAACGAGUGUGAGAGUGGAAAGUUCACACUGUGACGGUAUCUUACCAGAAAGGGACGGCUAACUACGUGCCAGCAGCCGCGGUAAUACGUAGGUCCCGAGCGUUGUCCGGAUUUAUUGGGCGUAAAGCGAGCGCAGGCGGUUAGAUAAGUCUGAAGUUAAAGGCUGUGGCUUAACCAUAGUACGCUUUGGAAACUGUUUAACUUGAGUGCAAGAGGGGAGAGUGGAAUUCCAUGUGUAGCGGUGAAAUGCGUAGAUAUAUGGAGGAACACCGGUGGCGAAAGCGGCUCUCUGGCUUGUAACUGACGCUGAGGCUC